GUCUCAGCUUCCUCCUUUUCAACUGCUUUCUAAAUGGGUGAAGAUGUUAACGUUCCCUGAAAUGGGAGUUCAGUUUAACCACGUUGUUCCACCGCUAAUCACAACUUUCUGUCCAGAGGUUGGAUGAUGCAGAGCAAGCUGAAUGUGUGCACCUGAAAGAAACCCCAUUAUGAUCUUCCUUGAUGGGGGCUGAAUGACCAACCUUGAAGGUUAAAUUGUGCAGAACAAGCUGAAUGUUUCGACAUGGAGACCUCCUGUCACGAUGCUUCUGGAUGAGCUAAAUGAACAAACAUGAAAGCCAGAUGCAGUCAGUGCAGUGCUUUUCAAGUGGCCACAGUAAGCCAUUGUUCUGGUGCUGGUUAACUGUAGGAAUGGUGGUACAGUCUGCUUAAGUAGGAACUUGACUGGUGCGGUUGUCUCAACUUUAACUGGUUUACAUGUGCAACUUUUUUUUUUUUUCCCCCCCCAAUAAACCCUUUUAAAUAAAAGUAUUUUAAAACUA